rnacentral:snRNA from 1 species
GGAUGUGAGGACAAUCUGGCUGCGACAUCUGUCACCCCAUUGAUCACCAGGUUUGAUUCAGCUGAUCUGGCUGGCUAGGCAGGUGUCCCCCUUCUCCCUCACUGACCCAUGUGUGUCCCUCCCAGAGCUGCAAGCUCGGUCAAAGAGGAUGACCUUCCCCCCAGAAGAGAGGGCUGGUCUUUGGCCAAGGGUAUACCAGUAGCUGCAUUCCCGCUUGAACCUCCAAAUGCUCUCAAAUAAGCAUAUCAUGAAAAACUUCCCAUCAUGUCAGCAGGGAAAUGCAAAUACCACCAUCCACUUAUU